AUUAUUCUGAAAAACAGAGAGAAAAGAAAACCAAAAACCAUUUCUUGGCUGGUUUGAAGAAAUUCUAAGGAGAUCCAAGUGAAAGCAAAGCCAAAGAAGUAGAUUAAGCUUAGUUCUAGCCUUUUUAUGAUAUUUCUUGGGGUUUCCAAGUGGUUUGAGGUUUAGAAAAGCUUGAAGAGAUUGUUUUCGCCGAAAAGUUGCUCGGAUAAGCACAUCAAUACCUAAGACACCACUUGUUACACGGUGAACUAUAUUUUGGACAAAAGGUAGAGAAAGAAAUGUGUGAAUGACAUGAGGAGAACUGAAGCAUGGUCCUGACCCUGAUUUGUACAUAUGAACAUAUCGACCUUUUUGUGGGUUAUUUCAGUUAUCAGUGAGAUGUUUGUAAUAAAGUGUGAAGUUAUGUUUUGAAAAUAAAUUGGGUUAUUUAAUACUUAUGUAUAAUAUGUUUGAGACCCACUUUAUGUUUAAUGUAAAUAAUG